AAAUAUAUAUAGAGUGAUUUGUAAAGGCAACACACAAUUCAAACCUCUCUGUAUCAAAACAAGUAAUAGUUUGCAUGGCUCCUGUAGAUUGGUCAAUAAUGCUUCCAAGUGAUCUGUGGUACUUCAUUGGUAAGAAACUUGAUGUUGCAGCUGAUAGGAUAUGUUUUCGUGCAGUUUCUAAAUCACGGAGGUCUCUUCUUCCCUAUUGUCAACCUCCAUGGCUUAUGCUUGCUGAAUCUCAUUCUCAACAUCAGCUUAUUCUGACCAAGCCUCUUAUUAUUCCUCCUCCUCCUCCUCCUCCUAGGGGAUUUGUUAUUGUCGGGGAACAGCACAUCUAUCAAUUUCAACUUCCAAACUUCACCCAUCAAGCUCGUUGAGUUGGAUCUACAGGUAAUUGGCUUAUCCUUAUAGAUUUAGAAAAGAUGAUUUGGUUGUUAAAUUCAUUCUCUGGGGUUCAAAUUGAUCUUCCAUCUCAAUCCACUUUCCAAUAUGGACUUUUACAAGGAGAGAAUGAUGUUGAUGACAUUAACAUACCCCCAGAAGAUCAUAGAGAUUGUUUAGUACAUAAAGUAAUCUUAUCACCAUCUAUAUCGGGUAAUGGAAGAGAUUGCAUUGCUAUGGCCUAUGACUAUUCACCACUAUUUGCGAAAAUUAGCAUUUGCUAGACCAGGUGAUACUUGUUGGAGUACAGUCCAAACUCCAACCCUUAUGGUGUAGAUGUCAUAUUUUAUAAACACCAAUUUUAUAGCCAUUAAUUCAAUACAUUUUAACUCAGUUGAUUACGGUGUGAGCAGCAUUUUCGUCCACACAAUGUGACUAGGACAACUUGGUAACUGGUUAUACAAUUUUUAUUGUUUCUUUUAGUUUUUCAGUCAAACAUACAGGUGGCAGCUGUAUGGAUGACAAAAUUGCUAUAUGGAUGACAAGCAAGUUGACAUACAAGUGGCAGUUGACUUUAGACUAACCGGUAGCAAGUUUCCACUUGAGUCCACGUAGAAGAUUGUGUGGUGUACAAGCAAAUGUACCGUAAUACACCAUACCGAAAAUGUACCGAAUAACAGCUACAAUUUUAUGCUCUUAGUCAUAAUGGAGGUCUUCUUGUUUGUGAUCUUGGGGAUGGGGAUAGUGGUCUACAAUCUGUACACACCCACAUACAAGUUGGCUACACAUAUAAAAUUUUUGAUAAGGGAGAUCUUAGUCACACCACACAACUCUCUCAUGCACCACAUUUUUGGAUAAAUUUUAAAUAAUUAUGUUUUUACGAAUUUAUCCCUAUUAUUCUAUUUGGCACAC
rnacentral:lncRNA from 1 species